rnacentral:rRNA from 1 species
GACGAACGCUGGCGGCGUGCUUAACACAUGCAAGUCGAACGAAGUGGCGAACGGGUGAGUAACGCGUGGGUAACCUACCCAUCAGGGGGGGAUAACACUUGGAAACAGGUGCUAAUACCGCAUAUUGAUGGAUGGACCCGCGGUGCAUUAGCUAGUUGGUGAGGUAACGGCUCACCAAGGCCACGAUGCAUAGCCGACCUGAGAGGAUGAACGGCCACAGUGGGACUGAUACACGGCCCAGACUCCUACGGGAGGCAGCAGUGGGGAAUCUUCCGCAAUGGACGAAAGUCUGACGGAGCAACGCCGCGUGAGUGAUGACGGCCUUCGGGUUGUAAAGCUCUGUUAAUCGGGACGCGGUACCGGAAUAGAAAGCAACGGCUAACUACGUGCCAGCAGCCGCGGUAAUAC